rnacentral:rRNA from 1 species
UACGUAGGGUGCAAGCGUUGUCCGGAAUUAUUGGGCGUAAAGAGCUUGUAGGCGGUUUGUCGCGUCUGCUGUGAAAUUUCGGGGCUCAACCCCGAACUUGCAGUGGGUACGGGCAGACUAGAGUGUGGUAGGGGAGACUGGAAUUCCUGGUGUAGCGGUGAAAUGCGCAGAUAUCAGGAGGAACACCCAUAGCGAAGGCAGCUUGCUGGGACGUUACUGACGCUAAGGCGCGAAAGCGUGGGGAGCGAACGAGGA